GACGAACCGUGCAAACGUUGUUCGGAAUCACUGGGCUUAAAGGGCGCGUAGGCGGGCCAGCCAGUCUGUGGUGAAAGCCUCCAGCUUAACUGGAGAAGUGCCGUGGAUACUGCUGGCCUCGAGGAGGAUAGGGGCAUCUGGAACGGUCGGUGGAGCGGUGAAAUGCGUUGAUAUCGACCGGACCUCCGCUGGCGAACUCCAUGUGCUGGGUCCUUUCUGACGCUGAUGCGCUCAAUCCAGGGGAGCAAACGGG
rnacentral:rRNA from 1 species